rnacentral:lncRNA from 1 species
CACAGAACACGCUGAAUCAGCCCGCUGCAGACCAGCAGGUCUGUGCACACUCUACCGAGUUCCUGAGUCCCGCAGAAGACGCCCAAGACAGGCAGGUCUGGCCACACCCUACCGAGGUCCCCAGUUGCACGGAACACAUGCCAAAUCAGCCCGCUGCAGACAGGCGGGUCUGUGCACGCCCUGCGGAGGUCCUGAGUCCUGAAGAAGACACCAAAUCACCCCGAUUCAGACAGGCAGCCACCUGAUUCCACACUACAAGAUGCAGAGGACACCAGACCACCAGACCAAGAAAGAAAUCUUGUCAUUUAUGGCAACAUGGACGAACUUGGGAGACAUUUAUGUUAAGUGAAAUAAAGCAGGCACGUGAAGCAAAUACUGCAUGAGCUCAUUUACACGUGGAAUCCAAAAGUGUUGAAUUCAUUGAAGCAAAGACUAGAAUGGCAGUUACUAGAGUCUGUGGUAAGUGUCCGCUCCUAUCCCAGUUACAUUCAACCAGAAGACAUCACCUAUCUAAAACCAUGGG